rnacentral:lncRNA from 1 species
UUCAGGUGCCUUGAGCAGUAGGCGUUAAUGGCUCCUCCUUAUUGCUAAUCUCUGGUGCCCCACCAUUCAUCGUCCAUUUGUUUGUUUGAUUGUUUAACAUUGCCCACAUCUUUAAUCAAGACUCUACGUAGCCAUCAGGGAUGAAUCUAUUUCUUGUUGGAUAAACAACCUCUUCUUAACUUAUAGGUGCAGAAUGUUCUAGAAGCUCUCAGAGAAUUUGAAUUAGGGUUUAUACUUGGGAGUUCCUAUCUGACCUAUGAAUUCUGUCUCUGAUGCCAUUUGUUCUCUGUGAAUAUUAAUUCUUGUUUGUGCAAUGGUAUUAACUCUUCUAUCCUUUCAAAUACAAAUAGUGUUUGGUUAAAACAGGUAACUGGUUAGGGUUUCCUCUGCUACUGUGUAAACCAGUUUCUCCAAAUGGUGGGCUCUCCCUGACACGAGUUCCAGUCCACCUUGCCCACCAGAUUCAUAUUCCUUGUAUGCCUGUCUCUAACAUUUAGACCAAAAAAUAGAAUCUCUUGUUUGGUGUUGAAGGUCUCUGGGCAUCUGGAUCUUUGCAGGCCUUGAAAAUAGAUAUUAUUUCCUCCCAAUAGAACUUUCUCAUCCCUGUCAGAGGUCCCUUCCUCCUGUGCUGCUUAUUCUGAUCUUUAUCACUUACUGUUUUAUCUCACGUAUUUUACUGUAUGUCUUGACUUCCCUCCUGGAAGGUAAUUUUUUUGGAGACUAAAUUAAAAAAAAAUUUGUCCAUUCAUUCAUUCUUCACCCCAUCAAACACUUUUGUUUAUCGUCUCUAUUCUUGGGGCUGUCAAGAUGAGACAGUACUGUUCCUAAGUUGAAGAAGGACAGCCAGAUGGGGAGACAAGUACAUAAGGACGGGGGACCCAGAAUGAAGAGGGUCAUGAUAAAACAGAGGAAGCAGCGGCUCAUUCUCUCAGGAGGGAGGAGGCAGGUGUGGACUGGCAUGUCUUCCUUGAUUUUUCUUACCCUGGCAGGUGGAAGGAAUGAAAUGGGGUGAGCAAUGGGUGCUCCCUAGGUCAACUGAUGGAGCUUUGCUUUUAACUCAGUAACAAGGAGUGUCCAGGGCUGCACAUUUAAGUAACUGUUUUGUUCUAAAGUGAUCAAUGGGACCAUGGUGUAGUCAAGGUUGGGACUGCUGUCCAAGGAUGGAUUCUUCACAACCUCGCAGUUGCUUCCAUUCCCAGGCUGUGAUUCUCAAAGGUUUGGAAGGGACAUACAGAACUCAUACACGAGUUCCACAAUGCCUUGUUUUCAUCUGUGGCUGAUGCUUUCUUGAGAGCUUCAUGCCUUCUUCAGCUGUGCCCCAUUACCAGAUAAGGUCAGCUGGUUUGGUUUUAAGCUAAUGUAGCGCUGGUUAGUGUUACUCUGAGCUAUGCUUAAAAUCAAUAGGAAGAAUUAUAAUUAAAAAAAAGCUAAGGUAAAAAGCACAGAUGGAAAAGGAGCUACAAGGUUGCAACUGACAAAUUUGAGAGCUAAAUCUCAGACUUAUGUGGCUUUGCUGGAGUUGCUUCCUUUGUUGCUCUUCAAGGAAUGGCAGAAAGUGAGAAAGCAGAAAGGCAGGAGAAACAGAGAGGCUCGGAAGUCUUGGAAGCUCCCAGACUCCAUGCCCUUUCUCGCCCUCCCAGCUACUGGGAUCAUUUUUAAUUGGGAAGUAGAAGUGUGCGCAAGGUAAUAGUGAAAAGUGUGCACAAUGUGAAUGAAGACACAAUGAAUCAUCACCAAGGGAGAAUCUUCAGUUUAGUGGGAGAAAGGUCAGAAUCCAGAUGAUGAUCCCUGUUUGAGCCCUCACUCCCUCCAGCCUUUAACUGAGAGCAGCUGCCCUUUCCUGUUCCGGAAAGCCCGGAGAGAGCUGUGUGUUGCAUUUUCUCUUGCUUCCUGGAGCUGCUCUAGAUCCUGCAGGUCAGACCAUGGCUUAGUAAGAGUGGGUACAGAUUUCUAGGGAACAAAAUCCAUACUGGAGGGUGUUGGGAGGGGCACAAGCCUUUUAGUCAGAUUUUUGCAGCAUUCUGGCUUUUCCAUCCUGUUCUCGUUGUGGAUAUUUAAAGAUUUUAUUUAUUUAUUCAUGAGAGACACACAGAAAGAGGCAGAGACAUAGGCAGAAGGAGGAGCAGGUUUCCCGCAGGGAGCCUAAUGUGGGACUCGAUUCCACAACCCUGGGAUCACGACCUGAGCCAAAGGCAGACACUCAAUCACUGAGCCAUCCAGGCAUUCCUUAUUGUGGAUGUUUAAUUUGGGAUCUGAGGUGGGCAAAAGAAAUGCAGAUGGGCCAGGCUUUGGCUGGGACAUUUAUUGGCAAGUAUCUGGUUUUUCAUAGAAAUUCAAAUCCAGAAGGAGGUAGAUAGUUUUGUGGGGGAAAGAAAGUGUCUGAGGGAAAUGGUCAUGAUUCUGGGAAGCACAUUGUGGUAGCCUUAGGAUCCGAGUCCAUGGAGUGCUGCCACCUGUAAGCUCUGUGCAAUUAAGAGAGUGACUACUAGUCCACAUUUUCUGGCGUAAAAA